AAUAUUGGACAAUGGGGGCAACCCUGACCCAGCCACGCCGCGUGUGUGAAGAAGGUCUUCGGGUCGUAAACCUCUGUCCUAAUGGUAGAAACGGACGGUACCUUAGGAGGAAGCCCCGGCUGACUACGUGCCAGCAGCCGCGGUAAUACGUAGGGGGCGAGCGUUAUCCGGAAUUAUUGGGCGUAAAGGGUGCGUAGGCGGCUUUUUAAGGCAGAUGUGAAAGGCUACGGCUUAACCAUAGUAAGCAUUUGAAACUAAAAGGCUUGAGUGCAGGAGAGGAGAGUGGAAUUCCUAGUGUAGCGGUGAAAUGCGUAGAUAUUAGGAGGAACACCAGUGGCGAAGGCGACUCUCUGGACUGCAACUGACGCUGAGGCACGAAAGCGUGGGGAGCGAACA
rnacentral:rRNA from 1 species